GUACAUGCCUAUAAUGUUAAUGCACAGGAUCCCAUAAAAAAUAUGCAAUUAAGUGCACUUGAGAUAGAGUAUUAUUAGGAUGGGUGACCUCUCGGGAAGUCCUAGUGUUUUGCAUG
rfam:Picea glauca, whole genome shotgun sequence.